rnacentral:rRNA from 1 species
AUUGAACGCUGGCGGAAUGCUUUACACAUGCAAGUCGAACGGCAGCACGGACUUCGGUCUGGUGGCGAGUGGCGAACGGGUGAGUAACAUAUCGGAACGUAUCCAAUAAUGGGGGAUAACGAGCCGAAAGAUUCGCUAAUACCGCAUACGCCCUACGGGGGAAAGCUGGGGACCUUCGGGCCUGGCGUUAAUGGAGCGGCCGAUAUCUGAUUAGCUAGUUGGUGAGGUAAAGGCUCACCAAGCCGACGAUCUGUAGCUGGUCUGAGAGGACGACCAGCCACACUGGGACUGAGACACGGCCCAGACUCCUACGGGAGGCAGCAGCGGGGAAUUUUGGACAAUGGGCGAAAGCCUGAUCCAGCCAUUCCGCGUGCAGGAUGAAGGCCCUCGGGUUGUAAACUGCUUUUGUACAGAACGAAAAGGUUUCUACUAAUACUAGGAGCUCAUGACGGUACUGUAAGAAUAAGCACCGGCUAACUACGUGCCAGCCGCCGCGGUAA